rnacentral:rRNA from 1 species
UGGGGAAUAUUGGACAAUGGGCGCAAGCCUGAUCCAGCCAUGCCGCGUGAGUGAAGAAGGCCUUCGGGUUGUAAAGCUCUUUUGUCCGGAAAGAAAAGCUCUCGGUUAAUACCCGGGGGUUCUGACGGUACCGGAAGAAUAAGCACCGGCUAACUUCGUGCCAGCAGCCGCGGUAAUACGAAGGGUGCAAGCGUUACUCGGAAUUACUGGGCGUAAAGCGUGCGUAGGUGGUUCGUUAAGUCUGAUGUGAAAGCCCUGGGCUCAACCUGGGAAUGGCAUUGGAAACUGGCGAUCUAGAGUGCGGUAGAGGGCAGUGGAAUUCCCGGUGUAGCAGUGAAAUGCGUAGAGAUCGGGAGGAACAUCUGUGGCGAAGGCGACUGCCUGGACCAGCACUGACACUGAGGCACGAAAGCGUGGGGAGCAAACAGG